AGAGUUUGAUCCUGGCUCAGGAUGAACGCUGGCGGCAUGCCUAAUACAUGCAAGUCGAACGAAGUCUUUAGGAAGCUUGCUUCCAAAGAGACUUAGUGGCGAACGGGUGAGUAACACGUAGGUAACCUGCCCAUGUGCCCGGGAUAACUGCUGGAAACGGUAGCUAAAACCGGAUAGGUAUGAGGGAGGCAUCUUCCUCAUAUUAAAGCACCUUCGGGUGUGAACAUGGAUGGACCUGCGGCGCAUUAGCUGGUUGGUGAGGUAACGGCCCACCAAGGCGAUGAUGCGUAGCCGACCUGAGAGGGUGAACGGCCACAUUGGGACUGAGACACGGCCCAAACUCCUACGGGAGGCAGCAGUAGGGAAUUUUCGUCAAUGGGGGGAACCCUGAACGAGCAAUGCCGCGUGUGUGAAGAAGGUCUUCGGAUCGUAAAGCACUGUUGUAAGUGAAGAAUGCCAUAUAGAGGAAAUGCUAUGUGGGUGACGGUAGCUUACCAGAAAGCCACGGCUAACUACGUGCCAGCAGCCGCGGUAAUACGUAGGUGGCAAGCGUUAUCCGGAAUCAUUGGGCGUAAAGGGUGCGUAGGUGGCACGAUAAGUCUGAAGUAAAAGGCAACAGCUCAACUGUUGUAUGCUUUGGAAACUGUCGAGCUAGAGUGCAGAAGAGGGCGAUGGAAUUCCAUGUGUAGCGGUAAAAUGCGUAGAUAUAUGGAGGAACACCAGUGGCGAAGGCGGUCGCCUGGUCUGUAACUGACACUGAUGCACGAAAGCGUGGGGAGCAAAUAGGAUUAGAUACCCUAGUAGUCCACGCCGUAAACGAUGAGAACUAAGUGUUGGAGAGAUUCAGUGCUGCAGUUAACGCAAUAAGUUCUCCGCCUGGGGAGUAUGCACGCAAGUGUGAAACUCAAAGGAAUUGACGGGGGCCCGCACAAGCGGUGGAGU
rnacentral:rRNA from 1 species